rnacentral:rRNA from 1 species
GGUUAAGCGACUAAGCGUACACGGUGGAUGCCCUGGCAGUCAGAGGCGAUGAAGGACGUGCUAAUCUGCGAUAAGCGUCGGUAAGGUGAUAUGAACCGUUAUAACCGGCGAUUUCCGAAUGGGGAAACCCAGUGUGAUUCGUCACACUAUCAUUAACUGAAUCCAUAGGUUAAUGAGGCGAACCGGGGGAACUGAAACAUCUAAGUACCCCGAGGAAAAGAAAUCAACCGAGAUUCCCCCAGUAGCGGCGAGCGAACGGGGAGCAGCCCAGAGCCUGAAUCAGUGUGUGUGUUAGUGGAAGCGUCUGGAAAGGCGCGCGAUACAGGGUGACAGCCCCGUACACAAAAAUGCACAUACUGUGAGCUCGAUGAGUAGGGCGGGACACGUGGUAUCCUGUCUGAAUAUGGGGGGACCAUCCUCCAAGGCUAAAUACUCCUGACUGA